GACAGAGGUGCCGAGCGUUAGGCGGAAUCACUGGGCUUAAAGCGUGUGUAGGCGGACUUCUAAGUACCUUGUGAAAUCCCACGGCUCAACCGUGGAACUGCUCGGUAUACUGGUCGUCUUGAGCCACCUAGGGGCGAGCGGAACAAGCGGUGGAGCGGUGAAAUGCGUAGAGAUGUGGAGGAACACCGAUGGCGAAGGCAGCCUUCUGGGCCAACACUGACGCUCAUGCACGAAAGCGUGGGGAGCAAACAGG
rnacentral:rRNA from 1 species